rnacentral:lncRNA from 1 species
AUUUCUUUGGGCCGCUCCCACGGCAUAUGGAGGUUCCCAGGCUAGGGGUCAAAUCGGAGCUAUAGUCUCCAGCCUACGCCAGAGCCACAGCAACGCGGGAUCCAAGCCGCGUCUGCAACCUACACCACAGCUCACGACAACGCCCGAUCCUUAACCCACUGAGCAAGGGCAGGGACCGAACCGGCAACCUCAUGGUUCCUAGUCGGAUUCGUUAACCACUGCGCCACGACGGGAACUCCCGAUUAUCCUUAAUUUUUCACUUAUUCCUCUAUCUACCAUGUUAAUUCUUCUUUUAAAAAACAAAACAUUAGAAUAUCAGCACCCAGUUGAAAUACUGUCACAGGACAUACACAACCAAACACACGUGAAGUGAAAACUUCAAGCAGCCGAGAAAUGACAAGUGACACCUAUGAUGCAACAGAAUCUUCUGUGCAAAUCAAUUACACUUUGCGCAUUCAGGCUCUGCUUCCCAUGAAAUUUUAUACUCCCUGACACACUGGCUUUCUCACCCCCUCACACACUGCUCCUCUCUCGCCUCAGUGACUAACAGCACCUCGUGGCUGGCAAAGUUGAAUUCAACCUGUCGUCAAAAGACAUUCUCAGGUUCAAGCACUGUGGGAACACUGUGAGACCGAGUUCUGAUAAGGCUGUCUCCCAGAAAACCUGGAGGCGCAACGGAGAACCGAGCCCCGACCCAGUCCACAUCAGAAGAUCUUCUCAACGCGGCUGCACCUCGGGGCCACCCAGGGAGCUAUGACACGUGCUGGAGUUCUGGAUCAGCACGGCACCCCGAGUUGAGAACCACUCAUCCAAGCCAUUUUAAUCUCUGAAGUUCUAGACUCCACGUGCUCAUUCCCCACAGGUGCUGGGGGCUCUCUAUGCUCACCCUGUUCCUUUUCUUACAGAAACCCUACCCAGAGCCACCGGAGAGAAUGCUCGCCCUGGGUGACAGCAGCUGUGGGAGCCUGGCUGCAGUUAAGUGGAGGGUCACACGGCGAGUGUAGACACAGGCAUGAGGGGGGACUUGGAGAGAGAGCAGCUCUGCUCCUUGGAAACCCUGGGGACACUGGGCUGACGGGCCCAUAGUUUGGGCCUGUGAAACAGAGGGAACAGAAUAACCCCUAACACUGCGGUGUGACCAACUCUUACACAGCAAUGAUUAUAUGCCAGGCAGCACCUGAAAUACUUUGUAAAUUAUCGCUCCCAUUUUCACAUGUGAGGAAACUGAAACACAAAAAGGCAAAGAAACAAACUUGCCUUAGGUCACAUCUUGGCAGAGCUGAAUUCAAACCCAAACAUUUGUGGAUCCAGGGUCAGCCUGAGAAGCUCCCAGCAUUAGCAUUAGGAAUACAGGCCAAUUAGGAAAGCCUGCAGACCUGUCCCCAAGCAUUGGUGCCAGUACUAGUACCCUGGGGGUCAGGUCAUUGGGCGCAACUCCAUGAGCUAAUACGACUUGGUCUUACUUAAUAUUCCAGUUGCUCCUUUAGGAUGAAUUCUGUAUCUGUGUGCACAAUAUCUCACAAGCAUGCCCACACAGACCUCGUGCCUUAGGUCUCAUAAAAUGCUGAGUUCCUCCCUGCUGCCUGCCUGCUGAGACCACCAGGACUGCCACGCCGAUUAGUAGAAGGUCCCACUUACUAAGACGUGUUAGAUGUGUUUAUCUCUAAGAGGAAAAGAGUCAAUGACAUGCCACAUUCAGUAAAAGAAAUAAUCACUUCCUAUAAAGCAGUUGGUUCAUUUGCUCACCUAACACAUACUUAUGAAGUGCCUACUUACAGGAUCGGUUCCUGCCAUCCAAGAACUUACUUAUAAGCUAAUGAAGGAAACAAACAAGUUUGGGGUAAGGUCAGGGCGAUACAAGGCAAUGUCCAUACAAAGACCCUAUGGGUUAAGACAGAAAAAAUACAGAAUACGUUGGAGAAAUCGGAAGGGAUUCUUGGAAUUAGAUAUCUAAGUUGUAACCUCAAGAAUGAUAAUGUCACAGGGUCAGGAGUAAUGAUUAGUUCAAUUUGGAGGCAUGCUGAGUUUGAAACUCUGAUGGACAGGGAAGUCAAUAACCAGCCUGCUAUGUGCAUCUGAAGCUCAGAAGAAAAUGUGGCCAGAAAAAAGUAACUGGAGAACACCAAUUUAUGGAUGAUACUUUGAGUUACAUAAGUAUAUGAGAUGGCUGAGAAUGGUGCAGAAAGAGAAAAGACAAUAUUCCAAGAAUUGCCAGCAUUUCAUGCCUGGUGAGAGAAAAUGAAAUCAGAUAAGAAAGGGAGAGCCAAAAGGAAAUGAAGAAAAGUAGGAAAUUAAGGGUGUCAAAAGGGGGCAGGGGCAGUAUUUCAGGAAGUCAAGUGUGAAAUGCCAACAGCAAUCACGUGUGAUUAGUGCUGAGACAGUCUACAGGUUUAAACGGUAGGGAAGCCAUGAGCAACCCUGAAAAACGCUACUACAGGAGAGCUCCUAGGUAAAAGCAAGAAUGAAAUAAGUUGAGAAUUAAGUGAUAGAGGUCCAAAUAGGGCUGUGUAAUACAAGGGGAGAUAAAAGUUAUUUAUUUAAAUGCUAACUGGAAGACACCAGCACUGCAGGAGAAACGAUAUAUAGGAGAAAGGGAGAAAUCAUCGAUUCAAUAAAAUAUUCAGCAACUAUCUUUUGAGCACUUACUAUGUAUCAUGCUUUGUUCCAGACUCAGGGAUACAGGAGAAAGUCUCUGCUUUAAUCAAGGUGACAGUAUUAUAAGUUAAACAACAACAGUAAUAAUAAAGGGACUGCUAAAUAAUGUGAAAUAACUAGCACUGCACGAGUCUCCCGGAGUAAAACAAGAAAAAAACAAAACAGAAAACAGAACAAAAUAUGAGAAGUGACCAUUUUCUGUCACUAGACUGUAAAGCUGAGAAAAAGAAACAAAAGAGGUGAGGCCUCCAGUCACUUUAGGCUACUGCCUGGAGCCAGUUACUGGACCACAGCAUGUGGAACCAAGGACAGAUGACGGUUGUGUCAGCUGAGGAGACAAAGAUCAGAGGAGUGUUUGGGGCAGAAUACUAAAAAAGGAUUUUACAGAGAAAAAAGUUGGUAAAUCUGCCAGGGAGCCCCUUUACUCUUUCUUUGAAUGUUCAACUAUGCAUGUGUAGCGUGAGGUUAGAAAAGACAAGGCAAAAACCAAAAACAACUUGAAGUUCCCAUCGUGGCUCGGUGAAAUGAACCCGACUAGUAUCCUGAAGACGUGCGUUUGAUCCCUGGCCUUGCUCAGUAGAUUAAGGAUCUGGCGUUGCAGUGAGCUGUGCUGUAGGUUGCAGGCAAGGCUUUGAUCUGGUGUUGCUGUGGCUGUGGUAUAGGUCAGAAGCUAUACCUCCAAUUUUACCCUUAGCCUGGGAAGUUCCAUAUGCCACGGGUGUGGCCCUAAAAACGACAAAAACAAAAAAAAAAAACUUAGAGAGAUGCUGGAUAAUCACUGGAUUGCACACAGCAUUGGAAGACCUCAGAGUUCCACCAGAACCUCCUAUAACACCAGGGACAUUAAAUAGAGACCUUUGAAGACCAUGAAUUAGAAUUAGGGCUAAAACACUGCUAAGUAAAGACUGCUGUUCACUCACCAAUCAAAACUCAAAGGCCAGACUUGAAGAGGUCAAGCUGAUACACAUGUAAUAUAUCUUGCCACCAGAAUAAAAAAGAAUGUUUUUAAAAGAAAAUGUAACUUAACCACAUGAAUACUACUCAGCCAUAAAAAAGAACAAAAUAAUGCCAUUUGCAGCAAAUAAAUGGAACUUGAAGUCUCAUACUAAGUAGCAAAGUAAGUCAGAAGGAGAAAGACAAAUACCAUUUGAUCACACUUAUAUCUGGAAUCUAUAUACAGCACAAAUGAACCUUUCCACAGAAAAGAAACUCAUGGAUUUGGACAAAAGAUGUGUGGUUGCCAAGGGGGAAGGUUGGGAAAGACAGGGACUCAGGUUAAUAGAUGCAGACUAUUGCAUCUGGAAUGGAUAAGCAAUGAGAGCCUGCUGUAUAGCACUGGGAACUGUAUCUAGUUCCUUGUGAUGAGGAUAAUGUGAGAAAAAGAAUGUGGACUGGGUACUUUGUUGCAUACUAGAAAACUGACAGAACACUGUAAAACAGCUAUAACGGAAAAAAUAAAAAUCUUUAAAAAAAACCAGCACAAACAGAUUCAGCAAUGUUAGAGAUGAUGAAAUAAACAAGGACUUCAAAUGAACUCAAAUAUAAUGUAUUUGAGGAUUAUAGAUGAAAGAAUAAAGAAUAUAGAUGAAAAUACAGGGGAAUAUUUACAGUUGAAAAAUACAACACCUGAAUUGAAAAGUGUGCAUUAAGAACACGUAAGUAUAGGUGAAGAAAAGAAGUGGAUCUGAAGAUAGGGCAUUCACCAGUAGACACGGGGAGAUAAAGAGCCUGGAAAGAGUCUCAGUAACCAGGGAAAUAAUCAAGCAAUAUACUCUGUGUAUCAUUGGAGUCUUUAAAGAAGAUGAACUACUUAAAGAUUUACUUUUGGCAAAUUAGUUAAAAACAUAAAGGCCUAUAAACUCCAAACAGAAUAAAAACCAAGAAAAUACACCAUGGCAUAUCACAAUUAAAUUCCUGAAAAUCAGUGACAAACAGAAACUCUUACAAAGCAGCCAGAGGGAAAAGAAUAGAAAAUAAGAGUUACUACUGACUUUUCAUAAGAGACAGUGCAAGUCAGAAGACAAUGGAAGAACAUUCUUCUCUUUCAGAAAAAAAUAAAACCAACACCUUCGGAUUCUAAAUCCAAUGAAAAUGUCAUUCAAAAAUAGAACCAAAACUUAUGCAGCCAAAGAAAUGUUGAGAUAAUUUAUUUUCAAAACACCUGAACUGCAAGAAAACUUGAAAGAAAUUCUUCAGGUAACAGAAAAACGUUAUAAAACAAAUCUUGGAAUUUCAAAAAGGAAUAGAAAGCACUGUAAAUGGAAAAAAAAUGGGAGUAUUUAAAUUGAAAUUUUAUUUUAAUUUCUUUGAAUUAUAAUUGAGAGUUAAAAUAAAAAAAAUUGUAGAUCUUAUACAAAUGUAAAAAAAAAAUAUGUGAUGGUAAUAGCACAAAGAGCAGGAAGGGGGAGGUAAAGGUAUUUUACUUUGGUUUAUAUUCAGUUUAUUAUCCUUUACGUGAAGGAAUAUAAUAUGUAAAGACAGACAAUAAAUUAAAUAUGCGUAUUGUAAACCCUAGGAGAACCAGUAAAAAUUAAAGCGCUUUAGUUAAUAAAGAAAAGAGAAGACAACAGGUUAGACUUUAAAUUUCUGAAUCAGAGGAAGAAGGAAUUUUCUACUUUUUCUCAAAGCACAACCUAUAUUUUUUAAAGAUUACUCUAAUAGUCAAAAGUCUUACCGUAU